AUGCACAAUACUAACAGGAUCUUCCCAGAGGAGGGGUUCCGGUUCUGUAACUCGGCAAAUAUUGUCUCGGUCAGUAUCGUUUCCUCCGACUAUGGAUACCCGCUCAAUGUCUACGGCACCAUCAUAGCCAGGGACAGUCUGGAUCGCCAACGCAUCUAUUUAUUCCAGCGUGCCAAGGACGAUUGCCAGAACAUCAGCUCCAAGAAUGAUGUGUUGGUUUUGACUGGCCCGAAGAGAGGACUGAUGAUAUGUGAUUCAAUAAUCUUUGAAGUUGAUCUGAAGGUCAAGGAUGUGAAUGGUAGAAAGGUGAAGGACGAGAGAGUUAGCAAAGGCUUAAUGGAGAUUAAUGGCAUCAAAAGACUCUCAUAUCCACCGAAAUACCAGGUUCAAACGGAAAAACUUGUCAGCAUGCACAGCACAUUGGAUUUGAACUACACGUUUGUAAGGAAUGCGGUGGAGGGCACCGUUGAGGCGAGGAUGAUCCUUGAGGAGGGACCUGUUGAUUAUUUCCAUGGGAAAAUCGUCGCUCACACUAGCAGCUUUCCAUGUGACAUUAUGCUACAUGAUAGCGAACUUGCUGGGAUGCUAACAGCCGGUGAAGGUGGAAUCCUGCAAACAGCACGCCGCGUGGUCAGCGUCUCUAUUGAUGAGACGCUCCUGUUGACCGUUGCCGCUGCUACCAGUGGUGUCGGCACUGUUGAGUUUACUCCAAAGCGUGGCAGCUAUGAUGAAGAGAAAAUCACUUGCGGCGACUAUAAGAUGCUGGUGAAGGUCACUUGGUCCAUUGUGUGCUGGUGA
rnacentral:rRNA from 1 species